rnacentral:rRNA from 1 species
AUGAAGGGGGUGAGCAUGUUGACGAUGGCGCGCGCGGCAUGGGCGGCGGUGCGGCACGCGGUGGUGGUGCCGCUGCUGCAGCUGGCCGUGUACCUCUGCGCCGCCAUGUCCCUCAUGCUCUUCGCCGAGCGCCUCUACAUGGGGCUCGUCGUCGCGGCGCUAUGGCUCCGCCGCCGGCGCCGUCAGCGCCGCAACCCUGGCAGGAACAAGGGGGGCGACGACGACGUCGGCGACCUGGAGUCCGGCGCCGCAGAGGACCUGCCCGUGGUCCUGGUCCAGAUCCCCAUGUUCAACGAGAAGCAGGUGUACCGCCUGUCCAUCGGCGCGGCGUGCGGGCUGUGGUGGCCGGCGGACAAGCUGGUGAUCCAGGUGCUGGACGACUCGACGGACGCCGGCAUCCGGGCGAUGGUGGAGGCGGAGUGCCGGCGGUGGGCGGGCAAGGGGGUGCACAUCCGGUACGAGAACCGCAGCAACCGGAGUGGCUACAAGGCGGGCGCCAUGCGGGAGGGCCUCAAGAAGGGGUACGCCAAGGACUGCGAGCUGGUGGCCGUGUUCGACGCCGACUUCCAGCCCGACGCCGACUUCCUGCGGCGCACGGUGCCGGUCCUCCAGGCCGACCCGGCGGUGGCGCUGGUGCAGGCGCGGUGGCGGUUCGUGAACGCGGACGAGUGCAUCCUGACCCGCAUCCAGGAGAUGUCGCUGGACUACCACUUCUCGGUGGAGCAGGAGGUGGGGUCGGCCUGCCACGGCUUCUUCGGCUUCAACGGCACGGCGGGGGUGUGGCGCGUGCAGGCGCUGGCGGACGCGGGGGGCUGGAAGGACCGCACCACCGUGGAGGACAUGGACCUCGCCGUGAGGGCGUCGAUGCGGGGCUGGAGGUUCGUCUACGCCGGCGACGUGCAGGUGCGCAACGAGCUGCCCAGCAGCUUCAAGGCGUACCGGUACCAGCAGCACCGGUGGUCGUGCGGGCCGGCGAACCUGAUGCGCAAGAUGUUCUGGGAGAUCGUGGCGAGCCGGCAGGUGUCGGCGUGGAAGAAGGUGCACGUGCUCUACGGCUUCUUCUUCGUGAGGAAGGUGGUGGCGCACCUCGUCACCUUCCUCUUCUACUGCGUCGUCAUCCCGGCCUACGUGCUCGUCGGCGGCCAGGACGUGCGCCUGCCCAAGUACGUGGCCAUGUACGUGCCCGCCAUCAUCACCCUGCUCAACGCCGUCUGCACCCCGAGGUCCUGGCACCUGCUCGUCUUCUGGAUCCUCUUCGAGAACGUCAUGUCCAUGCACCGCUCCAAGGCCACCAUCAUCGGGCUCGUCGAGGCCAGCCGCGCAAACGAGUGGGUCGUCACGGAGAAGCUCGGCUCGGUGACCUCCACCCCUGCCGCGACGACCACCAUGGCCACCAACAAGGGGGCAAUGAAGAAGAAGAAGAGCCAGAGCAGCAUCCUGGCGCCCGAGAUCGUCAUGGGGCUAUGCCUGCUCUACUGCGCCGUCUACGACAUCUUCUUCGGCCACGAUCACUUCUAUGUCUACCUCCUCAUGCAGUCCGCCGCCGCCUUCGUCAUCGGAUUCGGCUACGUCGGCUCCCAAUGA